ensembl:piRNA 21ur-1730 ncRNA
UGGAAUGGCGAAAAUACAUUA